CUUUAUUCUUCACAACAGCUCUAUCAGAAAAAUGAGAAAAUGGAAAGAUGAAGAAGCUAAUAAUUUAUUCAAGAUCAAACUGCCAAGAAGUGACCAAACUACCUUGGAUUCAGAUCCAAAUCGGCUGGACUUCCCCACUUACGCUUAUGACCGCUGAGCCACGCCACCUUCCCAAGUUCAUCCAGUGCUCUCUCAACUCUGUCAAACUGGCUUCCCUGAAAUAAUUUGUAUUUCUUAUCCACAGUGGGAUAAAUUAGAGAAACCAUAGCCAGGUGUGUAAGUGGAAAGAUUGACUAAUAGACAUCUGAUAGAGCAAACAGCCUAAGUCUGCAAUAUCUCUCUCAGGUCUGUCUUUAUUCAAGUGUAUGAGAUGGUGGUAAUCAUCAAUGUUCCCCAGUAUCAGUACCUAAUAUUUAAAAGGGUUAUCACGUUGGGCCAUACGUUUGGGCUUGAUGAUUCACAGGAGGUGAAGAGAACUUCAACUCUCAAUUGCAAUCCCAAUGCAUUUGUCAUGAUGCUGAGUUACACAGAACUAGGGCACAUGUAAAAUAAAUACCUCUUUUUGUUCCAA
rnacentral:lncRNA from 1 species